GGUUAAGCAGAAAAUGUGGAGCCGUAGCGAAAGCGAGUCUGAAUAGGGCGAAUGAGUAUUUGGUCGUAGACCCGAAACCAGGUGAUCUACCCUUGGUCAGGUUGAAGUUCAGGUAACACUGAAUGGAGGACCGAACCGACUUACGUUGAAAAGUGAGCGGAUGAACUGAGGGUAGCGGAGAAAUUCCAAUCGAACUUGGAGAUAGCUGGUUCUCUCCGAAAUAGCUUUAGGGCUAGCCUCAAGUGAUGAUUAUUGGAGGUAGAGCACUGUUUGGACGAGGGGCCCCUCUCGGGUUACCGAAUUCAGACAAACUCCGAAUGCCAAAUAAUUUAACUUGGGAGUCAGAAUGUGGGUGAUAAGGUCCAUAUUCGAAAGGGAAACAGCCCAGACCACCAGCUAAGGUCCCAAAAUAUAUGUUAAGUGGAAAAGGAUGUGGCGUUGCCCAGACAACUAGGAUGUUGGCUUAGAAGCAGCCAUCAUUUAAAGAGUGCGUAAUAGCUCACUAGUCGAGUGACACUGCGCCGAAAAUGUACCGGGGCUAAACAUAU
rnacentral:rRNA from 1 species